rnacentral:rRNA from 1 species
CAAUAGCGUAUAUUAAAGUUGUUGCAGUUAAAAAGCUCGUAGUUGGAUUUCGGGGCAGCCUGGCUGGUCCGCCGCAAGGCGAGUACUGGUCAGCCGCCCUUCCUCUCGAAAGCCCCGACUGCUCUUCGUUGCAGUGGUCGGGUAGUUUGGGACGUUUACUUUGAAAAAAUUAGAGUGUUCAAGGCAGGCCUACGCCUGAAUACAUUAGCAUGGAAUAAUGGAAGAGGACCUCGGUCCUAUUUUGUUGGUUUCCAGGGCCGAAGUAAUGAUUAAGAGGGACAGUUGGGGGCAUUCGUAUUUAAUUGUCAGAGGUGAAAUUCUCGGAUUUAUGAAAGACGAACAACUGCGAAAGCAUUUGCCAAGGAUGUUUUCAUUAA